GAAGUAAAAGUCGUAACAAGGUCUCCGUUGGUGAACCAGCGGAGGGAUCAUUACCGAGUUUACAACUCCCAAACCCCUGUGAACAUACCACUUGUUGCCUCGGCGGAUCAGCCCGCUCCCGGUAAAACGGGACGGCCCGCCAGAGGACCCCUAAACUCUGUUUCUAUAUGUAACUUCUGAGUAAAACCAUAAAUAAAUCAAAACUUUCAACAACGGAUCUCUUGGUUCUGGCAUCGAUGAAGAACGCAGCAAAAUGCGAUAAGUAAUGUGAAUUGCAGAAUUCAGUGAAUCAUCGAAUCUUUGAACGCACAUUGCGCCCGCCAGUAUUCUGGCGGGCAUGCCUGUUCGAGCGUCAUUUCAACCCUCAAGCACAGCUUGGUGUUGGGACUCGCGUUAAUUCGCGUUCCCCAAAUUGAUUGGCGGUCACGUCGAGCUUCCAUAGCGUAGUAGUAAAACCCUCGUUACUGGUAAUCGUCGCGGCCACGCCGUUAAACCCCAACUUCUGAAUGUUGACCUCGGAUCAGGUAGGAAUACCCGCUGAACUUAAGCAUAUCAAUAAGCGGAGGA
rnacentral:rRNA from 1 species